AAGACUGAGGCACAAAAGACUUGCCAGGGCUGGACACAGUGUCUCAUGCCUGUAAUUCCAGCACUUUGGGAGGCCGAGGCAAGCAGAUCGCCUGAGCUCAGGAGUUUGAUACCAGUCUGGACAACAUGGAUGUGCUUUGCUGAGCACUGCAUUCCCAUCAUGAAGAGGAGGCUCAGACAGGAGAACAUCCUGCAGCCCCCAUUUUCCCUCCAAAUCUGUCAAGAGGGAGAGACCCUGACAUAAGUGCAUUUUAUUAGUUUGACUCCAGGUGGAUGUGGUCAACAAGAUGGACUCCCUCCCUACCUGAGCUCCUGACUCUGGGCUAUGGAUUCACCAUAGUAGAUGGCAUCUCACAUCUCUCCCCAGCUCCACGUUGCAGAAGCUCUAUUACAGACAAGUGUGGCCAAGAGAUCCAUGGCUCUCUUCCUACACAUAUGAGCACCACUGGAGUGCAGUGGAUUAAACAUGACAGGGCCCAUCUGGGGGCAAGUUUGAGCCUUGCCAGUUUGAUAUUGGGUGCUAAGUGGAGUGGCAAAUCUGGUGUACUUUGUGCUAUAAAUUUGUCUUUCUGUAUUGUCCUGUCAUAAAGAGGAGUACCUUAGGAUUGAACACAGGCUUAGGACCCCAUAUGACUGCUGUACAAGCCAGCCCAGCAAACUGGUCAGUUACAAACCUUGCUGCAGGUCUCUGAAAAAAAAAAAAAAAACUGGAUGAAGUUUCCCUCUCAUCUUGUUUCAUGUCCUUGGGAGCUUGACCUUGUAACCACGUGGCAGUAUUUUCUCUUGGUCUCCACCAUCCAGAGAACAGGAAUUUUGGAAUUCAUGUCAUAGUUGGCUCUAAAAAUUAUCCUAAGCAGUUAAAAGUCAUUGCAAGCUCAAAAUUGGCUACUCUAGGCCCCUUCUGGGAAUAGCAGUGGAAGCUGCCCAAUGCUGAAUCUUUGUGACUAAGGCUUUGUCUGUUUCCAAUGGCAGCCUGGGUUCAGGGUUCAAUUCCUGGCUUAGGGAAUGAGUCACUCCUUGUUUGAUAUCUACGUGACCUUUACCAUUUGUUGAUUCUCCUCACCUCCAUGAACCAUCUUGAAUUUUCCUUUCUCUGAGCACCUAGGAGGUUAUGUUGGUAAAGUUCAAAAGCCAGAAAUACUGGUGAUUUGGCAUGACUAAUGUUGGGUAAUAAGAGGUUUAAAAGGAUUUUUAAAAAGAGCACUGUGGUUAAAAGUCAGCUUAAUUAAAACCACAUAUUAAAGCUCUAACAGCCUGGAACUCCUUGGGAAAAAUAGGAGGUGCCACAGACCCUGUUUUAGGAAAAACCUCUGUUUUCCUCAUGAAACCCCAGGAACUGAAAGUGGAUAGAUCUCUCUCAAAAUCUAAGGCUCUGUUCUGUUUUGCAUUGUGUUAGCCAACAUUUUUGACUUCUGGGGAUACCAGAUAUUACUUCACAUUGUGAGAGAGCUUUGGUGUGUAAUGACUAGGUAGGAAAUAUACUUUUAGGGGUGGCUAAUUGCAGUUAUGGGGAGAUACUCAGCUCUUUGUACGUUUGGAUCAGAGAAGCAUGCUCUUGGCUACCUAGAAGGUAUGAAAAUGUCCCCACCCCCACAGUGAGAGAUAAGACUCACAGGGGGAUGGGCUAAUCAUAGAAUGUGCUGAUUGUCUUUGGAUUGCUUUGCAAUGAAAUGCAUGGUAAAAUCAUUGCACGUUGUUCUGUAGUGUUUCUCUUUCGGGGAUCUAGGAUCCAAUACGAAAAAUAGGACCUUUAAUUUUGGGGAUUUUUUUUGCCUUCCAGUUGUGCCUAAUUAUUAGGCUGUAGAAACUGCAUGCUUUCCUGGCCCUGUUCCUCCAGGGGCUCCACCCUGAAACCAGUAAUCUAAAUAAGAAACUUGAAAAUGAAAAACCCUACGACUACUGGAUCUUCUGUCUGUCUGUGUAUUUAUAUGUGCUGUGUGUGAUGUUUAUAUAUGAAAGAGCUCUGAUUAAUUGGCUUAAAAAUAAUAAGUGCUUAAAUCAAAUAUUUUGUCAGAAAAAUAAAAAUUGUAAUGACUUUUAGUAGGUUACUGAAGAAACAGUUUUACAUGCAAAGUGAAAUGUGUUUUUGGUAAGAGAUUAUAAGAAGGCAAUGGACUGUGGGUUUUCUUGGGCCUAGUUUAGAUGGCUAAAGGAUUGUUUUAAGUUAGGUAGUAUAAAGAUGAAGGUUUGAAAAAGUUGUGGAAAGCUUGUGAAAAAUUAAUCUUGUAAAAAAUUCUCUGUAUGAACAUAUUGGCCAAAGUAAAAGGGAUAUUAUUUAGUUUUUCCAUAAAUUGAACACAACAGGUUUUUCUUAGAGCACUGAUCUGUUCUUUCACAAAAAUUUGUAAUGGAUUAUAAAAGGUUUAUGAGAAUCUUACUUUAUGGUCAAAUAUUAAAAUUAGGUAGAUUUAUCUAUAAGGUUUUAUUAAGAAUUGGAUUUAACA